rnacentral:rRNA from 1 species
GUAACGCGUGGGAAUCUGCCCUUGGGUACGGAAUAACUCAGAGAAAUUUGUGCUAAUACCGUAUAAUGACUUCGGUCCAAAGAUUUAUCGCCCAAGGAUGAGCCCGCGUAAGAUUAGCUAGUUGGUGGGGUAAAAGCCCACCAAGGCGACGAUCUUUAGCUGGUCUGAGAGGAUGAUCAGCCACACUGGGACUGAGACACGGCCCAGACUCCUACGGGAGGCAGCAGUAGGGAAUAUUGGACAAUGGGCGGAAGCCUGAUCCAGCCAUGCCGCGUGGAGGAUUAAGGCCCUCUGGGUUGUAAACUCCCUUUUAUCUGGGAAGAACCAUUCCGACUUGUCGGAACAUGACGGUACCAGAGGAAUAAGCACCGGCUAACUCCGUG